rnacentral:rRNA from 1 species
ACGUAGGGGGCAAGCGUUGUCCGGAAUUAUUGGGCGUAAAGAGCACGCAGGUGGUUAAUUAAGUCUGAUGUGAAAGUUCGCAGCUCAACCGCAAAAGGGAAUUUAAAACUGUUAGACUUGAGUCUGGAAGAGGUAAGCGGAAUUCCUAGUGUAGCGGUGAAAUGCGUAGAUAUUAGGAGGAACACCAGUGGCGAAGGCGGCUUACUGGACUGUUACUGACACUCAGGCGCGAAAGCUUGGGGAGCAAACAG